GGGGGAGCCAGCGUGGUGCCCGCCCCGGAAGCGUCUGUGGAGGAGGGUUGGGCUUCCCGGGGAGGAUGGACCGCUGGGAUAGCGGCUACUUGCAGAGAGGUUACGGGCUUUGUGGACAGGGGAGGCCACAGGAUCACCACCAUGUUUAACCAGCAACUCCAGCAGCAGCAACAGUUGCAGCAGCUCCAGCAACAGCAGCUCCAGCAGCAGCAACAGCAGAUACUCCAGCUCCAACAGCUACUGCAGCAGUCCCCACCACAGGCCUCCUUGUCCAUGCCUGUCAGCCGGGGCCUCCCCCAGCAGUCAUCCCCGCAACAGCUUCUGAAUCUCCAGGGCCUCAACUCGACCUCCCUGCUCAAUGGCUCCAUGCUGCAAAGAGCUUUGCUCCUACAGCAGUUGCAAGGCAACCUCCGUGCUUACAAUGUGACAGCCCCAAACCU
rnacentral:lncRNA from 1 species